UUUUAACAAAACACACCACAGGGUAUUGCCCUAGUAACGGCGAGUGAAGCGGCAACAGCUCAAAUUUGAAAUCUGGCCCUCGGGUCCGAGUUGUAAUUUGUAGAGGAUGCUUUUGGCGCGGUGCCUUCCGAGUUCCCUGGAACGGGACGCCUUAGAGGGUGAGAGCCCCGUACGGUUGGACACCAAGCCUCUGUAAAGCUCCUUCGACGAGUCGAGUAGUUUGGGAAUGCUGCUCUAAAUGGGAGGUAAAUUUCUUCUAAAGCUAAAUAUUGGCCAGAGACCGAUAGCGCACAAGUAGAGUGAUCGAAAGAUGAAAAGCACUUUGAAAAGAGGGUUAAAUAGCACGUGAAAUUGUUGAAAGGGAAGCGUUUGCGACCAGACCUUUUCCUAGCGGAUCAUCCGGUGUUCUCACCGGUGCACUUCGCUAGGUUUAGGCCAGCAUCGGUUUCCACAGGGGGAUAAAAGCUCUGGGAAUGUAGCUCCUCCGGGAGUGUUAUAGCCCUCUGCAUAAUACCCUUGCGGGGACCGAGGACCGCGCUUCGGCAAGGAUGCUGGCGUAAUGGUCGUCAACGACCCGUCUUGAACCACGGACC
rnacentral:rRNA from 1 species